rnacentral:rRNA from 1 species
GACGAACGCUGGCGGCAUGCCUAAUACAUGCAAGUCGAGCGAACAGAUGAAGUGCUUGCACUUCUGACGUUAGCGGCGAACGGGUGAGUAACACGUAAGGAAUCUACCUAUAAGCGGGGGAUAACAUUCGGAAACGGGUGCUAAUACCGCAUAAUAUCUUCUUCCGCAUGGAAGAAGAUUGAAAGACGGCUCUGCUGUCACUUAUAGAUGACCUUGCGGUGCAUUAGUUAGUUGGUGGGGUAACGGCCUACCAAGACGAUGAUGCAUAGCCGACCUGAGAGGGUGGUCGGCCAGCUUGGGACUGAGACACGGCCCAAACUCCUACGGGAGGCAGCAGUAGGGAAUCUUCCGCAAUGGGCGAAAGCCUGACGGAGCAAUGCCGCGUGAGUGAAGAAGGCCUUCGGGUCGUAAAACUCUGUUAUAAGAGAAGAACAAAUUGUAGAGUAACUGCUACAGUCUUGACGGUAUCUUAUCAGAAAGCCACGGCUAACUACGUGCCAGCAGCCGCCGUAA